rnacentral:rRNA from 1 species
GAUGAACGCUGGCGGCGUGCCUAACACAUGCAAGUCGAGCGAGGGUUUGCUCAGUAUUGAGUAUUCUAAGACUAGAAUGUUCAAUUCUGAGCAAAACCAAGCGGCGGACGGGUGAGUAACGCGUGGGUAACCUGCCCUAUACACAUGGAUAACAUACUGAAAAGUUUACUAAUACAUGAUAAUAUAUAUUUGCGGCAUCGCAGAUAUAUCAAAGUGUUAGCGGUAUAGGAUGGACCCGCGUCUGAUUAGCUAGUUGGUGAGAUAGCUGCCCACCAAGGCGACGAUCAGUAGCCGACCUGAGAGGGUGAUCGGCCACAUUGGAACUGAGACACGGUCCAAACUCCUACGGGAGGCAGCAGUGGGGAAUAUUGCACAAUGGGCGAAAGCCUGAUGCAGCAACGCCGCGUGAACGAUGAAGGUCUUCGGAUCGUAAAGUUCUGUUGCAGGGGAAGAUAAUGACGGUACCCU